rnacentral:rRNA from 1 species
AACUUGUGAAUUGCAGGACACAUGAACAUCGACAUUUCGAACGCACAUUGCGGUCCUCGGAUACUGUUCCCGGACCACUCCUGGCUGAGGGUCGUAU